CAGACCAUAUUUAUGGGAAAGACUUCUUAUUCUGACAUGUUUUUUAAACUGCUGAUGUAAGCUAGAAAGAGACUAUAAAGUUUAGACUUUUUUCUUUUGUAUGAGAGACAUUGAUCUUUAAAGCUAAAGUACGUUUUUGCUACAUGAGUAUCUUUCAUUGUUAUACUAGAUGUUACCUCGUAUGCAGUAAAGGAAUAUUCAUAUCAGAUUGAACCAGCUCAAUUAUCUUUAUUGAGUAAUGGUACAGACUACCUUUCAGUGUAGGAACAUAAAUUUUACAGUGGCGAGACCAGGCCAGUUCAAACAAAACAGGGAGGUGUGACCUGCAGAGGUACCUCUCACAGUGUGACAUUCCUGCACAGUUCUUCUUUUGAGUCGACUCUUUUUUUCUACUACUUCGUCCAUUGCCUGGUGGAUGAAAACACUGCUGUGCAGUACAGGGCAGUACGGUAAUUUUUUCUUCAGACAGUUGGUGAGAUACGAGGAAUGGGUCCCACUGCCGGCCCCAACUUCACCAGCAUCUAGUGACUUACAGCAGAAAAUUCUUCCACAACUGAUCUUCGUGUCAAGCCUGAUCACCUUGUCCUGAACAUUUGUGGUCAAGAUGAAUUCUUGUAUGCAGCUGUGUCUCAUCAACAGGACAUGCAGGAUAAGAGCAAGGCCGAGUUCAUCUACAAGCAGGUCAAGAUGAAUUCUUGUUUGCGGCUGUAUCUCGUCAACAGGACAUGCAGGAUAAGAGCAAGGCCGAGUUCAUCUACAAGCAGGUCAUCUUGUUUGCGGCUGUAUCUAGUCAACAGGACAUACAAGAUAAGAACAAGGCUGAGGAGUUCUUCAGAAACAAAAUAAUGAAACAUAAGAAACAAAUCAGCAGACCAUCUUCAUGGGAAAGACAUCAUUCUGACAUGCUUUCUAAACAGCUGAUCUAAGCUAGAAAGAGACUAUAAAGUUUAGACUUCUUUUGUAUGAGAGACAUUGAUCCUUACAGUUGAGGCUGUAAAGCUAAAGUAUGUUUUUUGUUAUACUGUGCAUCAUUCAUUGUUAUACUAACUGUUACCUCGUAUGCAGUAAAAAGGAAUGUCAUAUCAGAUUAAACCGGCUCAAUUGUUUUCA